AGGAUCUCAAGCUUUGUCGGACUUCAGGAAAGACACCUUGCACUCAACAGGAAUGCAGCAAGUCCUGAACAUUCCGCUGGAAUUGGAGGGAUAAGGAGGAAUGAACAUGAAGCGGAGCGACCCCAUAUGGGCAGGACCACCACGGUAUCCUGGUAUCAAGGAACAAACAGGAAAAACUCCUGAUGAGAAAUAAGCCAGACAACAGGAUACAAAGGGGGAAAGACAGCAUGCUGUAUGCAAUAUCUGAACCACAGAGGGAAUCAUAAAUAGAACUUAAAUGUUUUUCUUUUGAUGGCAUCUUCUGGAGACAUUUGGAAAGAGUCAAGUAGGUUGAAAAGAACCGACACUUCUUGAAGAGCACAGAAAGAUAC
rnacentral:lncRNA from 1 species